rnacentral:rRNA from 1 species
UACGGAGGGGGCUAGCGUUGUUCGGAAUUACUGGGCGUAAAGAGCUCGUAGGCGGUUCGGCAAGUCGGGUGUGAAAUUUCGAGGCUCAACCUCGAAACGCCACUCGAUACUGCUGUGACUGGAGUCCGGUAGAGGAGUGCGGAAUUCCUGGUGUAGCGGUGAAAUGCGCAGAUAUCAGGAAGAACACCAAUGGCGAAGGCAGCUCUCUGGGACGGUACUGACGCUGAGACGCGAAAGCGUGGGGAGCGAACAGG